rnacentral:rRNA from 1 species
GACGAACGCUGGCGGCGUGCUUAACACAUGCAAGUCGAACGAAGUGGCGAACGGGUGAGUAACGCGUUAUCAACCUGCCCUCCUGCGGGGGACAACAGUUGGAAACGACUGCUAAUAUCGCAUAUUGUAGGAGGGGCCUGCGUCUGAUUAGCUAGUUGGAGGGGUAACGGCCCACCAAGGCGAUGAUCAGUAGCCGGUCUGAGAGGAUGAACGGCCAACUUGGGACUGAGACAAGGCCCAGACUCCUACGGGAGGGAGCAGUGGGGAAUCUUCCGCAAUGGACGAAAGUCUGACGGAGCAACGCCGCGUGAGUGAUGACGGCCUUCGGGUUGUAAAGCUCUGUUAAUCGGGACGCGGUACCGGAAUAGAAAGCCACGGCUAACUACGUGCCAGCAGCCGCGGUAAUUC